CACGUAGGGUGCGAGCGUUGUCCGGAAUUAUUGGGCGUAAAGAGCUCGUAGGCGGUGUGUCGCGUCGGCCGUGAAAACCUGCAGCUUAACUGUGGGCUUGCGGUCGAUACGGGCAGACUAGAGUGCGGUAGGGGUGACUGGAAUUCCUGGGUGUAGCGGUGGAAUGCGCAGAUAUCAGGAGGAACACCGAUGGCGAAGGCAGGUCACUGGGCCGCAACUGACGCUGGAGGGAGCGAAAGCAUGGGGAGCGAACAGG
rnacentral:rRNA from 1 species